CCUACGGGAGGCAGCAGUGGGGAAUAUUGCGCAAUGGGCGAAAGCCUGAUCCAGCCAAGUAGCGUGAAGGAUGACUGCCCUACGGGUUGUAAACUUCUUUUAUAAAGGAAUAAAGUGAGGCAUUUGUGCCUUUUUGUAUGUACUUUAUGAAUAAGGAUCGGCUAACUCCGUGCCAGCAGCCGCGGUAAUAAGGAGGAUCCGAGCGUUAUCCGGAUUUAUUGGGUUUAAAGGGAGCGUAGAUGGGUUGUUAAGUCAGUUGUGAAAGUUUGCGGCUCAACCGUAAAAUUGCAAUUGAUACUGGCAGUCUUGAGUACAGUUGAGGUAGGCGGAAUUCGUGGUGUAGCGGUGAAAUGCUGAGAUAUCACGAAGAACACCGAGUGCGAAGGCAGCUUACUAAACUGCCACUGACAUUGAUGCUCGAAAGUGUGGGUAUCAAACAGGAUUAGAUACCCCUGUAGUC
rnacentral:rRNA from 1 species